AAAAACAUAGCUUCUAGCCCAACAACUAUUAGAAGUAGCGCCUGCCCUGUGGAACCCCUAAACGGCCGCGGCACCAAAACCGUGCAAAGGUAGCACAAUCAUUUGUCCUUUAAAUGGGGACUCGUAUGAAAGGCAGCACGAGAGAAAACCUGUCUCCUAAGACCAGCCAAUGAAAUUGAGCCGCCAGUACAAAAGCUGGCAUACUAAAGCAAGACAAAAAGACCCCGUGGAACUUAAUAACCUGUUUACACAAACUUAAACAAUAACUUUAGUUGGGACAACUUUAGAAAAACUUAACCUCUAACACCACCAAGACUAACAAGCCUAAGAACUUAUAAACUGACCCAGUCACACUGAUCAAUGAAAUAAGCUACCCCGGGGAUAACAGCGCUACCUUCUCAAAAGUCCAUAUUAACAAGAAGACCUACGACCUCGAUGUUGGAUCGGGGUAUCCCGACGGCGCAGCAGCUGUCAAAGGUUCGUUUGUUCAACGACUAACACCCCACGUGAUCUG
rnacentral:rRNA from 1 species